rnacentral:lncRNA from 1 species
CUGUGUUCAUCUUCGUCUGGUACAGAUGUUCGACAUUCUGCACCCUCAGAGACACUUGGCAAGCAGCAAGAAGAUUUCCUACAUUCACCCUGUUCAUGAGAAAACACUACACAAUCACGUAAGUUGGCUAUUUUGUGGGUCACAGAGGAUUCUAAACAACAGGUAACAAAGUGACAGCACAGACAAUUAUGCAGCACAAAUUUGAUGAACCUCAUUAAAAACAUCUGCCAACACCUCUAGAAGCCUGGCUAAGAAAGAAUUAAUGCAGACACACAGGUCACCUAAACAUGUUAAUCAGACUCAGAAAUAUCAAUAGGCUUAUUUUUAUUCAUUUUUAAAAUGACUGCACAGAUAGCAAAUACACCACAUAGUAAUUAUCUCAGCAGUAGAAGGCAUAGAACAAGCAAUGAGCAUAAAUAUUUAUAUCAGAAGUAGUUAUUCAGUAUCAAUAGCUAUUUGAAAAAUAGGAAAAUUGCUUAUUAGUUAUAUUUUCAUAGUUAUAUUUUUAGUUACUUACAUAAUCUUGAAUUUCGAUCACACAUUUCUUCAAUGAGAAACAUCUGCUUUAUUUCUCCUUUAGUUUAGGCCUAAACACCAUUUUAACAGACAUUGGUCAACUUUAGGAGGCUGGGUGAGUUUUUCUUUUUUUAGGAUUUUAUAAAGCUCAUUCCUGAAACUCUGUAUUUAGUGUAGAUCAAAGUUUUCUUUACACUAUGUGACAAAUCAUCAAAUAAACAGACAAUACUUUAAAAAGAAGGAGUUUCAAGAGAAUCAUGAAAGAUAAAUGAAGGUGAUACACAGGUUAAAUUUGUCAGUUUAUUAAGAAAUUAAAGCAGAAGAAAAAGUCAAAGUGAAAGGAAGUCAAAGUGAGAGUGUAACUUUAAAGUUGACUUUUUUAAUUACAAAACAAUAAUAUGUAACUGAGUGCUGUAAUUGAAAACCUUUCUAUUUUCUGUUUCCAGGAGAUAAUUCGUCGUCCUUUCCACCCAUGUGUAAGCAUGUUCUCUUUUACAGCAAAAUGCUAAAUAAUAUUUAGAACUCAAAAUAACAAUAAUGAUAAUAAAAUUGAGGGAUGUGGAA